rnacentral:rRNA from 1 species
UACGGGGGGGGCAAGCGUUGUUCGGAAUUACUGGGCGUAAAGAGCUCGUAGGCGGUGUGUCACGUCGGCCGUGAAAACCUGCAGCUUAACUGUGGGCGUGCGGUCGAUACGGGCAUCACUGGAGUUCGGCAGGGGAGACUGGAAUUCCUGGUGUAGCGGUGAAAUGCGCAGAUAUCAGGAGGAACACCGGUGGCGAAGGCGGGUCUCUGGGCCGAUACUGACGCUGAGGAGCGAAAGCGUGGGGAGCGAACAGG